GUGUGAGGUGUGCGAGGGCUGUCGCUGACUUCAAAGUCGUGCACGCCGGAGUGCGUCCUCUCACAUUAAAAAAUCCAUCUCACCCUUUUGUGCACCACCGCGUGGGCACCCUUUGGGAUCGAAUCGAUCCAGGAGGGGGCUUGCGUUUUCACACAAACCCCUUUUAAAAAGUGUAGAAUGACCCCACUUUGCGAUGACACGCAAUCAAUACAACUUUCAACAACGGAUCUCUUGGCUCUCGCAUCGAUGAAGAACGCAGCGAAAUGCGAUACGUAAUGUGAAUUGCAGAAUUCAGUGAAUCAUCGAAUCUUUGAACGCACCUUGCGCCCCUUGGUAUUCCGAGGGGCACACCCGUUUGAGUGUCGUGAAAAUCUCAACCUUCUCGGUUUUCUUCUGGAUGCCGAAGGAGGCUUGGACUUUGGAGGCCUUUGCUGGCAUCUCUCUCUUUUCGAGAGCCAGCUCCUCUUAAAUGAAUUAGCGGGGUCCUCUUUGCCGAUCCUCGACAUGUGAUAAGAUGUUUCCAUGACUUGGUUUCUGGCUCUGUUGCCUUU
rnacentral:sRNA from 1 species